rnacentral:rRNA from 1 species
UAAGCAUAUCAAUAAGCGGAGGAAAAGAAACUAACAAGGAUUCCCCUAGUAACUGCGAGUGAAGCGGGAAGAGCUCAAAUUUAAAAUCUGGUGUGUCUCUGGCCGCCCGAGUUGUAGUCUGGAGAAGCGUUUUCCGUGUUGGACCGUGUACAAGUCCCUUGGAACAGGGCGUCAUAGAGGGUGAGAAUCCCGUCUUUGACACGGACUACCAAUGCUCUGUGAUGCGCUCUCAAAGAGUCGAGUUGUUUGGGAAUGCAGCUCAAAAUGGGUGGUAAAUUCCAUCUAAAGCUAAAUAUAGGCGAGAGACCGAUAGCGAACAAGUACCGUGAGGGAAAGAUGAAAAGCACUUUGGAAAGAGAGUUAAACAGUACGUGAAAUUGCUGAAAGGGAAACGCUUGAAGUCAGUCGCGUCUGCCAGAACUCAGCCUUGCUUCUGCUCGGUGUACUUUCUGGUUGGAUGGGCCAACAUCAAUUUUGACCGUCGGAGAAAGGCUUUGGGAAUGUGGCACCUUCGGGUGUGUUAUAGCCCUCUGUUGUAUACGACGGUUGAGAUUGAGGACUGCAGCACGCCUUUAUGGCCGGGGUUCGCCCACGUACGUGCUUAGGAUGUUGGCGUAAUGGCUUUAAGCGACCCGUCUUGAAACACGGACCAAGGAGUCUAACAUGCCUGCGAGUGUUUGGGUGGAAAACCCAUGCGCGUAAUGAAAGUGACAGCUGAGAUCCUCUCAUCAGGAGCAUCAGCGCCUGGACUUGAUCUACGGAGACGGUUCUACGGUAGAGCAUGUAUGUUGGGACCCGAAAGAUGGUGAACUAUGCCUGAAUAGGGCGAAGCCAGAGGAAACUCUGGUGGAGGCUCGUAGCGAUUCUGACGUGCAAAUCGAUCGUCAAAUUUGGGUAUAGGGGCGAAAGACUAAUCGAACCAUCUAGUAGCUGGUUCCUGCCG